rnacentral:rRNA from 1 species
GAUGAACGCUGGCGGCGUGCCUAAUACAUGCAAGUCGAGCGAACAGACGAGGAGCUUGCUCCUCUGAUGUUAGCGGCGGACGGGUGAGUAACACGUGGAUAACCUACCUAUAAGACUGGGAUAACUUCGGGAAACCGGAGCUAAUACCGGAUAACAUAUUGAACCGCAUGGUUCAAUAGUGAAAGACGGUCUUGCUGUCACUUAUAGAUGGAUCCGCGCCGCAUUAGCUAGUUGGUAAGGUAACGGCUUACCAAGGCAACGAUGCGUAGCCGACCUGAGAGGGUGAUCGGCCACACUGGAACUGAGACACGGUCCAGACUCCUACGGGAGGCAGCAGUAGGGAAUCUUCCGCAAUGGGCGAAAGCCUGACGGAGCAACGCCGCGUGAGUGAAGAAGGUCUUCGGAUCGUAAAACUCUGUUAUUAGGGAAGAACAAAUGUGUAAGUAACUAUGCACGUCUUGACGGUACCUAAUCAGAAAGCCACGGCUAACUACGUG